rnacentral:rRNA from 1 species
UCGUAACAAGGUUACCGUAGGUGAACCUGCGGAAGGAUCAUUG